UCCCUCCCGCGCGCCUCCUCUCCCCCCCCCCGCCUCCCGCAGCCACAUCGCCGUCGCCGCCACCCGCCUCCACACGCCGUCGGUGUCCAGAUCCACCACAACAAAGCCCCCUCCUCCCUCCCCAACGACGAUGAGCAGCAGCGGAGGGAGGGUCCGCCACCUCCUCUGGACAGAGAGAGAGAGAGAGAGAGUGAAUCCCCUCCCUCCCCCACUCCCGUCUCGUCUCCACCAGCAGCGCGGCCAGCCACUGGAGGAGCCGCCUCCCCUCCCUAGGGUUCCGCCUCCCUCGCCGCGCUCCCAUCUCCUCCCCGUAUCCCACCCGCAUCGCCAUCGCCGCGCCAUGGCCGACGCCGACGAGCUGGCCGCCGCGUGCCAGGACUCCGACGCCGCCGCCGGCACCAGCAACCUCUUCCAGGUCAUGCGCGCCGUCGAGGCCACCAUCCGCCACCAGCUUGAGGAGAACAGCCGGCUCAAGGAGGAGCUGAUGCGCAAGACCCGGGAGCUCGACAGAAUCGAGAUUCGACCUGUUGAACUUGGAAAAUGCUCUGGACUUUCCACUAUAAUCUGUGUUUUCGUGGCCCUGGUGAUCUGGAUUAUCGCACUGACGAACAAUCUGUUGAUGAUUUUCUCAAAAUCAAAGGAGCCAAGUUCCUUGAGGCUGUAAAUUGGGUUAUUCAAUGACAUAGUGUGAUAGGUAUUGAUAAGUUAUGCAUCAGGUGUGGCUUGCACAAAGAGCAGUUUGAUCAUCUUGACCUGUGGAUUAGUUUGCCGCUUCAUCGAAAACAAAGCAAAGAUCAUAGCUUUUGACCCGAAGAAACUUAUUCACCCUCUGAAGAAGUUCAUGUUCAUCACUUUCGCCUUGAGGCCUUGGGUGUUUCUCGCCGCUGUUUCUAUAAGGACACACUCAGAAUGAAUGUUUAGAUGGUUGAGUAUCAUGCUGCAGAUCUUUGCUCAUUUUGAGUAGGAGGGACAAGAGAUCCCUAUAGUACUUCAUGGGUGCUCAAGAGAAGGCUACGAUAAUGUUCAGAGGCAGCAGAAGACUGGCCAGUGAAGAUACUAAUUAUGGAAGCUUAUAAACAUGGAUAUGAACAGUUGCAGAAUCUGACAACCAAGACCACAUGGCACGUUUAUGCACUUGCGGCAUAUGACUUGUCAAUUAAUUGUCUUCUCUAGACAGCCAAAUGCUGAUAAUGGAAUUCUUCAACUUGCCCGCUUCUUGGAUGUUGUGCCCCGACUGGAGACGUUGCAUUUGGAUAUGGUAUAUCUGAACCUUGACGACGGUGGGAGUGAUGAGGUGAUGGAGGAGGAAGGCUCCCAUAUGCGUCACCAUGAUCAUAUGCGUCCUACAUACAUCCUCUGAAUUCAAAAAUAAAUCAUAACAAUAAGCAAAUGUUGUAACAAGGCCAACAUAAAGAUGGUGUAGUCAUGCAUAGAGGUUGAUUGGAGCAAAAUGGUUCCAUCUAUCAACUAAGAGAAAAAAGGGUUCAAUCCUUCAUCUGAGGGCAAAGUAUGUUGUUGACACUGCUAAAGAAUUGAUGGCCAAGCCUGGUGGAGGCGCAAAAUGGCUUGCCUUAUUGCGUGACCGGGAACUUCCGGAGGUAAUCGAUGGUCUUUGUACCCUGCCAGGCAUUGGUCCAAAAGUUGCAGCCUGCAUUGCUCUGUUCUCUCUUGAUAAGAAUUAGGUUAUUCCCGUUGACACACAUGUCUGGAAGGUAAGCUAUGUCUGGUUAACCAUUGUUGUAUUCUUGAUGUAAAAACGACUUAAUCAGGUGUGCUUUUCCACCACUAUACUCUUUGUCAAUUCUCACAAAUUAGGUUGAUCUGAUUGGUUUUAGUGAUCGUAGUAGUUUUCUGUUGGCUAGCAGCAUGUUCAAGGCUUCACCUAGAUGAAUAUUACGAGUUUGGACCAUGAUAAUAGCUACACAUUUCCUAAAGUGAUCAUGUUUAAAUUUCACGGGGUGUGGUGCACCUAUUCUAACUUUAAAAUGCAAUGGAACUUAUAAAGUAGAUAAUCGCCACUGAAACUUAUACACAAUGAAUGCUCUGUUUCAGAAUGAGAACAAGUUUUGUGGUAUCAAAAAUACAUUCGAACCUUGAGGAUGCAGAGUCAAGAGAGACUCUCUGGAUAUGCUCUAUAUGAUCUGAAAGUCCCUCAAGUUGCUUUGAAAAUUGCACUUUCCACUUUCAUGGAGAAUAUUGAUGCAACCUCAAAUUAAGUGGAAUAAUCAUGGCUGCUUAAAAAUGUGUUGAAUUUUAAGAUGUUCUGCUGAAUUAGUUGCACCAGGUCAUAUGUUUUGAUCUGUACACGGGUCUUUUUCAACUCAGGCUUGCACCGUCGCCGUUCCUCGGGGUUCAGAAAGAGGAGCGCCGGCCAUAGACGAACGAGGAGUUUGAGAUAUCUGCGGCGCCUGUUGCAGUGACCACGACUACUGCAUCAAAGACAAAGGUAGUGCCGCAUCAAUUCAGGCCGCGGAGAUGAUGGUGCCGACGCUGGUGCUCAAGGUGGUCGGUUGUUGCGCUGCCCGACAGGCUGGUGGCUGCGUCGACCUAUGGCCAAUGCCCCGUGUGUCGACCGUGGGGCUAGGACGCUCUACGUCGCCAGGGACCUCAAGCUGUCGACAGCGGGGACCGGGUACAAAGACGGGAAGGCCAUCCUGGCCGACGCCUUCGGGAGGAUGGUGGCCGUCAUUUAGCAGGACCAUGCCAUCAGUGGCAGCUAUGACGGCCUUCCCGUGCUUGCCGGUGUUAAUCUGGUCGUCCGUUCCCCGGACGACGAGCUCGAGUUCAGGGUGGAUAAAUCGUACAAGCUGACUGUGCCUACAACUGGGAACCCGAUAUAUGCCCGAAUUAAGGGAGAUGGAUGUGUUGAGGGGAAGGUUUACUCAAAUUUCUUUACCUCUCUUUCAUUCAUUUUGUUCACUUCUCUUAUCAUGAAAUCAUGCUUUCAAAUGUAGUACACUCUUAGAUUUGAUAAUAUAUUUCUGUGAUGUUAUCAAAUUCACUAAUUUAUACAAUAGAUAUGGGAGUGUUUGAUUUAAAUUAUAUGUCAGCUUUGCCAUGCUUGCCAAUGUUCACUUCUGGUGCAAGUGCUUUUAUAAUUGCAACUUCAGGAAGUGUGUUGUUUGAAGAUAGAACAGUAGUUCAAUUACACAAAUGUUUGAAUGAGAACUUAUAUGAAUUAGAAGGGAAUAAUUGUCUGGACUUACCAAAGUCAGCGUAAGGAAAAGAAUUGCCUCAGCUAACACCAUAUUUAUAACGAUGAUAGAUGCAAAUCAAAGAACUUAAUAGGAGAAUUAUUUUGGUCUAUCUCUACAAAGAUGUUCCAAUGUUUGGUCUCUACAAAGGUGAUGCUUGCUCCCAUUCAUGGCUUGGUUUGCUAAAUUAGUUGGACUUGUGAUUAACUAGCAGUUCCUACAUAUAUUGGGAAGAAAAAGCUACCAUGCUAGAUUAGUUGAUCCAAGGCUUGAGUUAUAUACCAAAAUAAUGCUGAGAGGAGUUCUGUCAGAAGUACCUUGACCCUUUUUAUUUUUAUAUUCCGUUUUGCGCACUCAUUUAAUGCCACUUGCAAUCUGAAGUAGAAAAUAUCAUAAAGAGCUUGAUGACUUCUAUCAUUGUUGGUCAUAGUAGCUUGCUUUUGCUACUAAUUAUGAGUUCCUACAUUUGUUCAUUUUGCUUACAAUAAUAUAAGUGUCGAUUCUUUUCAUUGUGGAAGUGAUUCUAAUAUUAAUAGAAGUCCUAUCGGUGCUUGAUAAUGUACACGAUUAACUGUGCUGAUAUCUCUAACUUACUACCACUCUGCAGAGUGUAUGUUAGGUAUUGCCUGUACCAAUGCAAUUUUAUCUAAACUGCUCAAUGAGGUCUUUGUAUUCUCCGAUUUACAGACUAUAUACAAGAGGUUCAGCAAAGGACUCAAGUUUGCAACCACCACAAAAAUAAGUCUAUGGAACAAUAGUGUGUGGCUGUUCUGUGCAAUUUUUCUCUCAUCGAGGGGUAUGUCAAGUGUAAGUGCAGACACAUUGUUGAUGUUGAAUACUGGAGUAAGAAUGAUGAUCAAUGCUCUAAUGAACCUACAUGAUGUUGCAUUACUAUUAGGAUAUAGGGUUAGGCACAUACUUUUUUUGACAAUGGGUAGUUAAGUGUGGUUUUCAGGUGUAGUUGCCUAUUGGUUUAUUUAGUUUUCCUGUGUCGAUUUCUCUUGUACUGUAAAGCAGAGGCUGACUUCUCGUGGCAUCGCUAGAUCUGGUGGCCAGCCGUUGUCGUUGCCUGUCCUCUUUGACGCGAGACCACAUGGAGAAGGGGCUCGUGGCAGCGCCUGGAUUGGUGGCCAGCCAGCCGGCAUCAUGGAGCUCGACAUGUCUCAGGCCUGUUCGCCACAUAACUUACAGUCCAGGUCGUUGACAUAUUCGGGUUCUAGGUCACAGAAACAAAAUAUUUUGGCUCAGCAAUUUCAUGCAUUAGAUAUCUUUUUGUGAAUUCUACAAUUUGUAGCUUCGACCUAAAUUUGACAUUCGUUUUAGUCAACUUACACUCCUGGAUGUUUUCAAACUGA